CACACACACACACACACACACACACACACACACACACACACACACACACACACACACCCAAACACAUUGCGCCUGUUGAUAGAUUCUAGAUAGUGCCUUCAGCUGCUUUGUUGGUGUAGAAAAGAAAACAGAUGCAUUCACCUUAAGUAAGAAGUAUAUGACAAACAUUCAUGAGCACCACAUGCGCAUACUGGUUACUUUCAAAGCAGUAUCAACAAUGCUCAUUUCCAGCCAUCAUAAUUAGAUAACACUUCUGUGUAUUGUGUGUAUUUAGAGAGUAAAUAAUGUGUCAACAUGAACUAAUGUAAUUUGACUAGCACUGGCUUCUAUCGUAACAUCUUGGUGAAUCAUUUGUGAAUGAAAACAAUAAUGUAACACAUAACAUUGUAAAUCAAUAAAGAAUAUUAAUGUUUUAGGAAUAACUAAUUAUCUUUAUAAUAAACUCUUGCCCCCCC